AACACAUACAACUGGGACAGGCUAGCUUUAAUUCCUCUUCCUCGAGACAGUAGUGACCUUAAUAUACUCAGGAUCCCGUGGAUACAUAAUGGAGGGAGCUGGAGCUCAGAGAGGUCUAUCUCCAUGGACCCAUGUCAGGGUGUACAGCUUUUACUGAGGGCAUGCUCUGCCUGGCAGCAUGAUGAAAGUACUGAUAAAACUGUCUCCUGGACUGGACAAGCAGCAGGAAGUUGUGGGAUGUGGACAAGAACAGACAUAAGGAAGAGCCUUGAAUUUGGAAGGAGGCUGACCUGGAUAGCUCAGUUUCUCAGGUAUAAGUCAGACACUUGUCCAGUGCAUCCCCAAGCUGCAGAGGACACACAUCAAGUUCUCAGAAUCGUCUCACUGAAGCCCAUAUCACCAUGUUGAGAGCCUGUGCCCCUUUCCUAGAUCCUGGCCGACUAAGUAUCCAUCACACCAGGAUGGUGCAAUGUCACCCUGGAGUGCAGGGCCACAGAGGACCUGAAGGUGACCUGGGUAAGCAAGGGCCUCCCCAGGGAGCUAGAACAGAGGAACACUGGGACCAAGCUCUGAGCCUGCCCCUAAGCCAGACUGACUCCAGCCUCACCUGUGUGGUCAACAACCAUGUGGACCAGAAAACUACCACCUUAGACCUUGGGGAACUCUCUUGGGAUUAAGAGCGUGCCUGGCAAAAGACUACAACUCUAUUCUUAUUUCCAUUAUUGUGGACGAUACUGGCAAAAGCUCUUCUGUUCCUCAGCCUCCUUGGGAAGCUGGAAAUGGAGCUCACCAAGGAAAAUCUCCAGCAGAAGAAGGGAAAUUACAAGUGUCCAAGCAGGCUGGACAACUAGGUUGGGACUUUAUUUCCUUUUUCAUGCUUUGUCAAGUUUUCUGAAUCAUAAAUGAAUGCUUUCUAUCUUCUGCCAAGUUAAAAAAAAAUUUGCUAGCACAAAAAUUAUCUAUUCUUUAAAGAUGUGAGGAAUUCACAUUAGGCUUUGUGAAUAGGCUUUGCCUUUUAUGUCAUCAAAGGAGAAAACACUUAUGUAAGUUUUAUAAUAUUUUCUAUGUUCAUU